GCUGCUGUGGCUCAAUGUAGAGUGUCCUCUCAAUGUCCGCAGCAAUGGAACGUCGAAUUGUGAGUAAGGUGUGGGUUCGAAUCCCACCGGUAGCA